rnacentral:rRNA from 1 species
GGCGAACGGGUGAGUAACACGUGAGUAACCUGCCCUUGACUUUGGGAUAACUUCAGGAAACUGGGGCUAAUACCGGAUAGGAGCUCCUGCUGCAUGGUGGGGGUUGGGAAAGUUUCGGCGGUUGGGGAUGGACUCGCGGCUCAUCAGCUUGUUGGUGGGGUAGUGGCUUACCAAGGCUUUGACGGGUAGCCGGCCUGAGAGGGUGACCGGCCACAUUGGGACUGAGAUACGGCCCAG